AUUGAUUCAUCGCAUUUUAAUCUCUUAAAUUCUUAGAAACUUAUAUAUUAAAAUACAGUAAUUAUAAUCUUAAUAAUCGUAAAUAUAUUUUUUAAAAAUACAAAUAAAUUUAGUAGAAAGUUGUGUUAACAAAUGCGGUGUUUAAGUUGUUAUGAUUUAAGUUUUAGGUGUGUUGUGUGUGUGUGUGCGUGUGUGUGUAAGACUAUAACUUAUUAUUAUUAUUGCUUUGAAAUAUUACGCCUUUGACGUCACACGAGAUGACCAUUGGCUAUACAUCUUUGACGCUAAUUUUCUCAUCGAUCGUUUUAUGCCUGGCAGCAUAGAUUAGAAAAUAUGAAGGAUUAUACGAUCAAGUUUCGUCUCUUAUAAGAUUAUAUCGCAUUUAAAAAAAGUUUCUAAACAGAAGAAUUUUUAAAUAUAUACACAACCUACAUCACGCCAUCAUCUACUUAAAAGAAGAAGAAGAAGGAAAAAACCUUCAAGAUAAGUGCUAAGAACAACCAAGAACAUACAAAACCAUCUCUGAGGAUGCAGGGCUUGGUGCCAUC
rnacentral:lncRNA from 1 species